AAUAUUUUUAGUGAAAUUCACCAAGGACAUUUCCAACUCUGUUACACGAAUAAACCGGCAUGUGAAACCUCUGGUUCCUUGUCUGUUUCUCUCGACCUGAUCAUUCUCGUCCCGGAUCCGAGGGGACUCACGAAGGAAUCUCGGGGUCUCUUUCUGGGUACUGGAUACUGCCAACCAGCAGAAAGUUGGUGCUAUCCUGGAACCGGCUUGGACUGAUAAAAGAAACAGACUCUCUGUUGCAAUGGUGAAGGCUGAGCUUCAAGUCAGGCUAAACUUUCAGUUGUCCUGUACUGAGUUCAAGACAUUCAUUGAAAAUCAGCCAGGACUCAUAGCAGCAGCAAAGAAAAACACCAAAUAUAAAUGGAAGAUUAGCCAAGAGCAGCAGAGGCACAAGCAAAGCACACACCACACUCUAAGCAAUCAGGUGUCCACAACCAAAAACUGUUGGAAAUAAACCAAAAUACUGAAGACCUAGCCUAGUAAACUAGACCCACCCGCCUAGCGGCCAAAAAUAUUUUUGCCUAGCGAGUGGGUCUAGCCUCGCACCAUGUAAACAAAAACACUCCGGGCAUCAAAUCGUGCCCGCCAAUCACAACGCAAGGUUUUUGUUUGGAUUCUUUGGGCGGCCUUUUGCAGGAGUGACGACAAAGCUGCGCGACGCUGGAGAAAGCGCAGCAGGAAAGAUGGCUACGGCUAGUGAACAGCGCGCGUUUGACUCCGCUUUGGAAUCAGUUUUAGAAGAAUUAGACUUGGGGUUUUCGUUGAAACAUGAGCAGGAAGAGGCUCUCCGCUCAUUCCUUUUCAAGAAGGACGUUUUUGCUGUUUUGCCGACCGGCUAUGGCAAAAGUCUGAUCUACCAGCUAGCUCCGCUCGUAGCCAAAAGGAUGGGGCUAGUUUGUGCAGUACAAAGAAUUAAUAAACAGCUUUGAAACAUUACUUUUUGAUUGUUUCUUAUUUUCCCGUUAUUUUAAAUUUAAGGGAAAUUAUUUCACCAAACACCACUAAAUAAAAACUCUCAAAAACAGUUUAAGCAAACCCUUGAAAAACACUUGGGGAAAAAAAAUGACUAUGUUAUGUAUGUGGUACAGACUCCAAACUUCUUAAUAUCUAGAACAUGUUUAUUAAUUAAUACGCAUUUUGAAAAAUUAUUUAUUUCAAGGCCUCCCCCACUGCUUUCUGUCGCUCUGACUACGUCACAGUCACUGUUGCGCUGAUUGGUCAGAGCAUUGGCCUAUACGCACAGAGAAAGUUUGAAAGACAGUGGGUUGUUCCUCCUACCCGCUUCGGAAAUGUCUACGGAUCGAGGCCAGACUAAAUAUUCACAUUUAGUCUGGCUUGCCAGGCUACUGAAGACCUGCUAUAUUAUGUAAAGCAAUUAACUAAACAAAUAACUAGCAAAAGCGUCAUUUUUACUAAUUAGAGCAAUACAGUUUCAGCGUAGAAGGGCGAUUUUUGUCUUGGGUUAGAUGUGUGAAGGGCGCCGUUGCUUACAAGCAAAAAGGUCGAUUGGAUGGUCGAAAUGUCCAGGAUUUUUGUCAGACACAGGUGGCAACCCUAGCAGCCACCAUGGGGGGAAAAUUGUCUCAUCUCAUUAUCUGUAGCCGCUUUAUCCUUCUACAGGGUCGCAGGCAAGCUGGAGCCUAUCCCAGCUGACUACGGGCAAAAGGCGGGGUACACCCUGGACAAGUCGCCAGGUCAUCACAGGGCUGACACAUAGACAACCAUUCACACCUACGGUCAAUUUAGAGUCACCAGUUAACCUAACCUGCAUGGUCAAUUUAGAGUCACCAGUUAACCUAACCUGCAUGUCUUUGGACUGUGGGGGAAACCGAAGCACCCGGAGGAAACCCACGCGGACACGGGGAGAACAUGCAAACUCUACACAGAAAGGCCCUCGCCGGCCCCGGGGCUCGAACCCAGGACCUUCUUGCUGUGAGGCGACAGCGCUAACCACUACACCACCGGAAAACUGUAUUAUAUUAAUUGUAUUAUAAAAAUUGUAUUAUUGUAUUAAGAUACCCGGACCCCGAGAAAAAAAAAAAAAAAACCACGGGAUUGGAUGUGGUUUAGCAUUCUACACAGAUUCUAGACAAUUUGGCCGGCUCAGUUUUGAUUUAUCCUCAUCCAGGUAUUUGCAAUCUCUGGGAGCUGUGUAAUGUAUCUUUAAUUGUUUUAGCAUUUAUAUAAGGCAUUACUGGAUAUGCACAAAAUAAUGAAACAACAAAUCAGUACUCUGGACAUGAACAGUUAGAACUGUGUUCCUGGUGUGCAUACAUGUCAAACCUUUGGUCAGUCAAAUCUGUAUAACCAACUUCCAAAGUCCUUAUUUCCCUUAUAAAAUCCUUAUAAGAUGCAAAUUAAAAUGAUUUACCUAAAAUUUGAAUGAUAAUUAACAAUGUUAAUUAACAAUGUUAAUGUUAAUCCCAGUUACUUUUUAGAAUCCUAGAAGAAUGAAUACAAAGCUUCAAUGUUUGACAAAAAACUACAAAGUGUAAAUGUUAUGUGCUCUUUUAUCCUCGUGGGAAUUGAUUAUAACUUUAUUUGUACGCCCGUAUACUAUGUUUAUUGAAUCAAAUCCGUAUAAAAUACGGACAUUUUGUAUAUUGUGCAUUUUAAUCUCAACGAAAGCUUCACUGAAUCGAUUCUUUAGAACAAACUCGCAUGCGUGUGAAUCAAUUUACUUGAUUCACUCUUGAUUCUUGACUCAGAAACUACGGAAACCUUAUUUGUAUUCCUGUUUUCAAAUUGUAAACAAUAAUCACACUUUCAUGCUGCAUGAAAUUAAAGCAUGAACUUUCCUCAACCAUUACGUGUGCAUGAACCCAACAAAUGCAGUCCGUGCGUCUGUAUCGAUUCGCUCGAUCGAGUCAUUUAUGUUUCGUCCCGAAGAAGAUCCGAAUCGUCUGUGAAUCUCAUCACUGUUAGAAAUCCAAGAGAAGAGAUCCUCUUCCCUUAACAUCAUCAGAGGAAAAAUCUGCUUCUUAAUCAAUUAGUUUCAGCGUUUGUCUCUUCUCGAGCAAGGCGUGGUGAGACACUUUACACAAGAUUUACGUAAGAUUAAUGAAUUGAUUGUUUCUUCUGUAAUAUCACAGGUUCCUGCCAUUAAUGAUCUCUGUUCUGCCUUUUUUUUCCACGCACAUGAGGAGAUAGCGUUUGGACUCAAGGUUUCAUUUGACUCUCCUGCUGUUUUUUUUUUUCAGCUGUAAUUCAUAAUGCGCUCUGUGACCUUCUCCCUCCCUCAGGACUCUGUGGUCUGUGUUCUGGUGUCUGCUGAGUCACCAGAAAUCUGCCAAGACACUGACACUUGCGCCUGCUCCAACAUCUGGCGCAUAAGGGCUUUAAGGUUUCCAGAACCAAGCUGCAAUAUUGCAUGGACACUUAAGUAUUUGAACUUUUGAAGUUUUGAACUUUCUCAAGGCUGUCAUUCUAGACACAAAACCUCCUCCACUGCAACAUCCUUUGACCUGGACUGACGCUAUGGUGGUCGCUUAUCACUCCCUCAGAAGCACCCUUUGUUCCGCCCCUGGGUCACCUGCUCACUUCAAGCCCUUCCACCUCUAUGCCUGUGGACACCGGGGCACAGCCUCUGGGGAACGUGAGGGGGGGGAAAUGCAUCAUUGUGCGUUUUUAUCCAAAACAUUAGACAUUGUUGCUCAAGGCUUACCUGCGUGUCUGGGGGCUGUCUCCGCAUGUGCUUUGAUGGUUUGAUGGUUGUAAAAUUGACAGACCCAUUAAAUUAAUUAAUCAGUAAUUUAAUAGAUAAUUAGAUUAACAUAUGACUGUUUAUUCUCUGUUCUACUAACAAUCUCGAAGUUCGUGUCACAUCCUCUUUUGAUAAUGUAGGUCGCGCUCUCGCACGCCUCCUUAAUUCUCGGGAUGAUAUUUGGGAUGACAUUGAUAUUGUCUGUCUAAAAAAUCGUACAUACUACUAGUAUCAGGUCUGAUCUCUUCCCUCCAGCCCUCUAGGGAUCUUUGUUGAUGGUUCUUGUUCUAAACCCUCAGACGGUUCUUGUUUUAUAAUUUAUAAUAUUAUCACACCUCUGUGGUUAUUCUGUGUGUUCAGUCAAUAUCAGCCUGAUAUUCUGCAUGAGACAUACGCUCUUCCUUUCUCAUUUGAUUUUUGUCAUCUUGAUUGUGGACAAAUUCUCUAAAUGGGUAGAAGUUUUUCCCUGUUCUCGAGAGAACACGAAGGUUUUCGUGACUCGUUUUGAUACUUUAUUAUUAUUAUUAUUAUAACUAUGAUACAUUUUAUUUAUAAGUGCCUUUCAAGGUACCUAAGAACACUGGACAGUAAAAAAGAAAAACAAACAAUAAAAGCAGAACAACAAAACAACAACAAUAAAAUAAUAAGAAAUCAAUAAUAAUUAUUAUUAUUGUUAUGGGGUUUCAAAUGCCAUAGACUCAGACAAGGGUACCCCUUUCACCUCAAAGGUCACACAAAACCUUUGUAAGUAUCUCUAAACUCUAAUCUCCAAACUAAACUGGUGUUUUCACAUUCCUAAAUCCUCUGGUAUCGUAGAACGUACUAAUCGAACAUUGAAAGACAAAUUAAUUAAGGUCAUGCAGGACACAGGUUUGAUUCUGUAAUCCAUAAGUCAUUCUGGCUGAAAUUCGUGUGACACCAAGAAAUUAUUCUCCCCUGGAAGAAGGGAACUCCGGCUCCGGGUACCUCUGAUUUGAAAAUGCAUAUGGAUGAGUAUUCUGCAGCCCUUAUAGAUAAGUUGCAUAAAAUUUGUACCAAGGUCAAUAAUACAAUAUUAUCUCCACCACACACCCCUUUCACGUGGGAGACAGGUGCUGGUGUGAUUUUUUAAAGUAAUGAUUUGGACAAUUGGGAAAACAAUAUAAUGGGCCUGCAGACAUAGUCGCCAUUACUUCUACUGCUGUUUUAACUGAUCUUUUUCCACAGUGGAUCCAUGCCACUCGAUUGAAGAAGGCUCCAUAACAAAGUUGUGUUAUAAUAACAAGUUUGCUGCUAUUAACACUUUUUGUGUCCCUAUCUAGUCUCCCUCUGGGCAGUUUUCUCUCUCUCUCUCUAAGCUCUACACAGAUUCGACUGAGAAUCCUCAAGUGAACAAAGAGGGGAAGAGAUCUUGCGCCCAGUUUGGAACCACCCCACCUCACUACAACCAUGAUGGUCCACAUCGCGGGUUUCGUGACUUCAUCAUUGCUCGGGGCAGGGCUACCCGCCCGAGCCUUCAGGACCACAUCAUUGCUCGGGGCAGGGCUACCCGCCCGAGCCUUCAGGACCACUUCAUUGCUCGGGGCAGGGUUACCCGCUCGAGCUGGACUUCAUUGCUCGGAGCACACUUGCAGGGUUACCCGCUCGAGCUGGACUUCGAGACAACAUCUUCUGGACUAACUUCGCUAACUGGACUGCACAAGCACACACCACACGAAUGUGUUAUGUCUUUCAUCUGAUGCCGUCUUCUACUAUUAUUACACAUCUCUAUGCUUUGACGAAGUGACUGUGCGAAUAAACUGGCAUGUGAAACCUCUGGUUCCUUGUCUGUUUCUCUCGACCUGAUCAUUCUCGUCCCGGAUCCGAGGGGACUCACGAAGGAAUCUCGGGGUCUCUUUCUGGGUGAACCCCAACAGCAGCGGUGUUUCUGGAUAUUGUUUAUAUCUGGUUUUAACUUGCAUUUGUGGAUGCAGUAAUGAACUGAAGUGUUUUCUGAAGUGUUCCUGAGCCCAUACAGUGAUUCCCACUACAGACACGUGUCUGCUUUUAAUGCAGUGUCACCUGAAGGCCUGAAGAUCACAGGCAUCCAAUGUCAGUUUUCAGCCUUGUCUCUUGCAUACAGAGAUUUCUCCAGAUUCUCUGAAUCUUUUAAUGAUAUUAUGUACCAUAGAUGAUGUGAUCCCCAAAUUCUUUGCAAUUUUACAUUGAGGAACGCUAUUCUUAAAUUGUUGCACUGUUUGCCCACACAGUCUUUCACAGAGCGGUGAACCCCUCCCCAUCUUUACUUUUGAGAGACUCUGCCUCUCUGGGAUGCUCUUUUUAUACCCAAAUCAUGUUACUGACCUGUUGCUAAUUAACCUCAUUUGGUUUUUUUUUUGUUUUUUUUGUAUUACAAAACUUUUUCAGUC